rnacentral:rRNA from 1 species
CCCGCACAAGCAGUGGAGUAUGUGGUUUAAUUCGAAGCAACGCGAAGAACCUUACCAGGGCUUGACAUCCCUUGAACGCCGUAGAGAUACGGAAUCCCUUCGGGGCAAGGAGACAGGUGGUGCAUGGUUGUCGUCAGCUCGUGUCGUGAGAUGUUGGGUUAAGUCCCGCAACGAGCGCAACCCCUGUUGUUAGUUGCCAGCAUUAAGUUGGGCACUCUAGCAAGACUGCCGGUGACAAAUCGGAGGAAGGUGGGGACGACGUCAAAUCAUCAUGCCCCUUAUGUCCUGGGCUACACACGUACUACAAUGGCCAUUACAGCAGGAUGCGAAGGAGCAAUCCGGAGCGAAUCCUCAAAAAUGGCCCCAGUUCAGAUUGUGGGCUGAAACUCGCCCACAUGAAGUCGGAAUUGCUAGUAAUGGCAGGUCAGCAUACUGCCGUGAAUACGUUCCCGGGCCUUGUACACACCGCCCGUCACACCAUGAGAGUCUGCAACACCCGAAGUCAGUAGUCCAACCGGUAACGGAGGG